rnacentral:misc_RNA from 1 species
AUGAAGAACGUAGCGAAAUGCGAUAAGUAAUGUGAAUUGCAGAAUUCAGUGAAUCAUCGAAUCUUUGAACGCACAUUGCGCCCGCCAGUAUUCUGGCGGGCAUGCCUGUUCGAGCGUCAUUUCAACCAUCAAGCCCCAGGCUUGUGUUGGGGACCUGCGGCUGCCGCAGGCCCUGAAAACCAGUGGCGGGCUCGCUGUCACACCGGGCGUAGUAGAUUUAUCUCGCUCAGGGCGUGCUGCGGGUUCCGGCCGUUAAAAAGCCUUUUUUACCCAAGGUUGACCUCGGAUCAGGUAGGAAGACCCGCUGAACUUAAGCAUAUCAAUAAGCGGAGGA